AUUGAACGCUGGCGGCAUGCCUUACACAUGCAAGUCGAACGGCAGCACGGGUGCUUGCACCUGGUGGCGAGUGGCGAACGGGUGAGUAAUACAUCGGAACGUACCUUAUCGUGGGGGAUAACGCAGCGAAAGCUGUGCUAAUACCGCAUACGCCCUGAGGGGGAAAGCGGGGGAUCGAAAGACCUCGCGCGAUUCGAGCGGCCGACGCCUGAUUAGCUUGUUGGUGGGGUAAAAGCCCACCAAGGCGACGAUCAGUAGCUGGUCUGAGAGGACGAUCAGCCACACUGGGACUGAGACACGGCCCAGACUCCUACGGGAGGCAGCAGUGGGGAAUUUUGGACAAUGGGGGCAACCCUGAUCCAGCAAUGCCGCGUGAGUGAAGAAGGCCUUCGGGUUGUAAAGCUCUUUUGUCAGGGAAGAAACACCGGCUCUAACACAGUCCGGGAAUGACGGUACCUGAAGAAUAAGCACCGGCUAACUACGUGCCAGCAGCCGCAGUAA
rnacentral:rRNA from 1 species